rnacentral:rRNA from 1 species
UGGGGAAUCUUGGACAAUGGGGGAAACCCUGAUCCAGCCAUGCCGCGUGAGUGAUGAAGGCCCUAGGGUUGUAAAACUCUUUCGCACGCGACGAUAAUGACGGUAGCGUGAGAAGAAGCUCCGGCUAACUUCGUGCCAGCAGCCGCGGUAAUACGAAGGGGGCUAGCGUUGUUCGGAAUUACUGGGCGUAAAGCGCGCGCAGGCGGUCCUUCAAGUCAGAGGUGAAAGCCCAGAGCUCAACUCUGGAACUGCCUUUGAAACUGGAGGACUUGGGUACGGGAGAGGUGAGUGGAAUUCCGAGUGUAGAGGUGAAAUUCGUAGAUAUUCGGAAGAACACCAGUGGCGAAGGCGGCUCACUGGCCCGUUACCGACGCUCAGGCGCGACAGCGUGGGGAGCAAACAG